AUUGAACGCUGGCGGCAGACCUAACACAUGCAAGUCGAGCGGGGUUUUCGGACCCAGCGGCGGACGGGUGAGUAAUGCGUAGGAAGCUGCCCGAUAGAGGGGGAUACCAGUUGGAAACGACUGUUAAUACCGCAUAAUGUCUACGGACCAAAGUGUGGGACCUUCGGGCCACAUGCUAUCGGAUGCGCCUACGUGGGAUUAGCUAGUUGGUGAGGUAAUGGCUCACCAAGGCGACGAUCUCUAGCUGGUUUGAGAGGAUGAUCAGCCACACUGGAACUGAGACACGGUCCAGACUCCUACGGGAGGCAGCAGUGGGGAAUAUUGGACAAUGGGCGCAAGCCUGAUCCAGCCAUGCCGCGUGUGUGAAGAAGGCCUUCGGGUUGUAAAGCACUUUCAGCGAGGAGGAAGGGUGGUGUGUUAAUAGCACAUCAUUUUGACGUUACUCGCAGAAGAAGCACCGGCUAACUCUGUGCCAGCCGCCGCUGUAA
rnacentral:rRNA from 1 species